rnacentral:rRNA from 1 species
GAUGAACGCUGGCGGCGUGCCUAAUACAUGCAAGUCGAGCGAACAGAUGAGGAGCUUGCUCCUCUGACGUUAGCGGCGGACGGGUGAGUAACACGUGGAUAACCUACCUAUAUGACUGGGAUAACUUCGGGAAACCGGAGCUAAUACCGGAUAAUAUAUUGAACCGCAUGGUUCAAUAGUGAAAGACGGUUUUGCUGUCACUUAUAGAUGGAUCCGCGCCGCAUUAGCUAGUUGGUAAGGUAACGGCUUACCAAGGCGACGAUGCGUAGCCGACCUGAGAGGGUGAUCGGCCACACUGGAACUGAGACACGGUCCAGACUCCUGCGGGAGGCAGCAGUAGGGAAUCUUCCGCAAUGGGCGAAAGCCUGACGGAGCAACGCCGCGUGAGUGAUGAAGGUCUUCGGAUCGUAAAACUCUGUUAUUAGGGAAGAACAAAUGUGUAAGUAACUAUGCACGUCUUGACGGUACCUAAUCAGAAAGCCACGGCUAACUACGUG